UUAUAUUAGAAAAGCUUUAAGAAGUUUUUGUUCGAGGAGGACAGAACAAAUUUUAAAAAUGUUUUUAAUUGCUUUUUUAAAAAAGGACUGUGUUUCUGAGAAUAUGUUUCUAUGAUCUAGAGUGUCAUAGUGUUGUAGAAGUGUAAUUUGUCUUGAACCUCCAUUGUUUAGAAUUCAGUAUGUCCUUUGGUUUUCACUGUGACGUCACUGGUGAGAUUUAAAAGAGAUGGCCUGGCAAAAGAAAAGAGGGGAAGGAUAUAAUUCAGGAGGUUGUAGUAAAGGAAGGUUCUAUGGGGGUGCAAUUUCCUGAGGGUGGUGAAAUAAAUGAUGGGGGAAGCUUCUAGGAUAGCUUUAAUUUCUUGAGUUAAGUUAGUCUGUAAAAUGAUAGAGGUUUUUUUUUUUUUUUUUUAACCAAACGAUGUGAGGCCCCUCUGUUGGGGCCCUAGCCGCACUGAAGCUCCCCUAGCUUGGUCAGGGAGUUCUUUCCCAUCCAAGUUCAUACUGCCAAUAACGAAACUGAGUUUGGUGCAAGCAAGACAGACUUUUAUUCAACUUCCAGAGAAUGGAGAGGGGGAGCUCAUGCUCUAAAGGCACCUUCUCCCCGGGAGGAAGGCAGUCAGGGAAUUUCCAGGGUCAGGAGACGGAUUCUAGGAAAGGGGUGGAGAUUUCCAGGGGCAGCCGGGCAUGUUCAGUCUUCCACACUCCUUUGCACAUGGCACCAGUUGUACCUAACAGAGUACAAAUCCCCACUUUGGAUGGAGACUUUAGCAUGGUGAUGAAGCAAAGAUAAACCUUGGAGACCUCCAGGUUUCAUCUGCGUAGACACCUUCCUGUGGUCAUAACAGAGCCAGCUCUGGGUGGUUGACCACUGUAUAUCUCUCCAAGCAUUUGUUUCUCCUAGUACAGCUGCAGAGCCUCUCUGCCAAAUACCAGGUACUUUGGAAACAAACACAGAGAUAAAUCAGGCAAGUGCUCUCCAGCUCUCAGGGAUUAGUUUGGAAAGACAGAAAUAAAUCAAGGCAAGGAAAGUGAUGAUCCUCAGUCUACUUUGUGUGCCGUCUUGGAUGUAUUCAGUUCAGUUUGGUUAGAUAUCCUAGAAAAAUAUAUUGUAAUUUAUAACAUAUUCCAGUUGUGUUGGCUAAUGAAAAUAAACUAUAGUCAGAUGGGGGAAAAUGUUAAGAUGGUACGUAUAUUUUAUGUUACG
rnacentral:lncRNA from 1 species